rnacentral:pre_miRNA from 1 species
AUUAUACUCCCUCUGUUGCACAAUACAUGCCUUCUAUUUGUCAAAAUAUAUAUGUAUCUAGACAUGUCUUAGUAUAUAGGUACAUCCAUUUUUGGACAAAUGGAAGUCAAGUAUUUUGGAACGGAGGGAGUACACA